GACGAACGCUGGCGGCGUGCUUAACACAUGCAAGUCGAACGAAGUCCAUCCAGCUUGCUGGGGAAGACUUAGUGGCGAACGGGUGAGGAACACGUGAAGAACUUGCCCCGGAGAGAGGGACAACAGCGGGAAACUGCUGCUAAUACCUCAUGUUGAAACAGAAUCGCAUGGUUUUGUUUUGAAAUGAAUUUCGCUCCGGGAGAGCUUCGCGGACUAUCAGCUUGUUGGUGAGGUAACGGCUCACCAAGGCUACGACGGAUAGCUGGUCUGAGAGGACGACCAGCCACACUGGGACUGAGACACGGCCCAGACUCCUACGGGAGGCAGCAGUGGGGAAUCUUGCGCAAUGGGCGAAAGCCUGACGCAGCAACGCCGCGUGCGGGAUGACGGCCUUCGGGUUGUAAACCGCUUUCAGUUGGAACGAUAGUGACGGUACCAACAGAAGAAGCUCCGGCUAACUACGUGCCAGCAGCCGCGGUAACAC
rnacentral:rRNA from 1 species